ACGGGAGGCAGCAGUGGGGAAUAUUGCACAAUGGGCGCAAGCCUGAUGCAGCGACGCCGCGUGAGCGAAGAAGUAUUUCGGUAUGUAAAGCUCUAUCAGCAGGGAAGAUAAUGACGGUACCUGACUAAGAAGCACCGGCUAAAUACGUGCCAGCAGCCGCGGUAAUACGUAUGGUGCAAGCGUUAUCCGGAUUUACUGGGUGUAAAGGGAGCGUAGGCGGUUUUACAAGUCUGAUGUGAAAGCCCGGGGCUCAACUCCGGUAUUGCAUUGGAAACUGUAGAACUAGAGUGUCGAAGGGGUAAGUGGAAUUCCUAGUGUAGCGGUGAAAUGCGUAGAUAUUAGGAGGAACACCAGUGGCGAAGGCGGCUUACUGGACGAUUACUGACGCUGAGGCUCGAAAGCGUGGGGAGCAAACAGGAUUAGAUACCCUGGUA
rnacentral:rRNA from 1 species